AAACAAAAACAAAAGCCAAAAAAAAAGGUUGGGAGUACGAAACCCGAUUGUUUUUUUUUUGAUUUGAAAAAAAAACUCUUUCUUUUUUUUUUCUCUUUGUU
rnacentral:ribozyme from 13 species